ACAAGAAGUGUUAUAAUGCUAGGUCCUAUUCCAGCAAUUGCGAAAUCUCUAGUUUUUAUAUGACCUGCUGUAAUAGCAAUUGUAUUUGGUGGAGUGCCUACUGGUAGAUGAAAUGAAAAAGAACAACAUAAAGAGGCUGGCAGCAUCAAAUAUAGUGGAUGUAUUCGUAAAGCAAUAGACUGAAACAACAUAUAAAUAUAUAAUAAAUUAAAUAUAAUUGAAAAAUAAAUUAAUGACUAGAAAAAAGAAAUUUAUUAACUGAAAUUUCUUACCAUUUCUGCCAAAACAGUUAAAGCAUUUCCUAGAAUAGAAGAAAGAUUGGAAGUGGUACUUCCUGCUGAGAUGGCAAAUCCACCACCCAAAACUAAAAUCAAACUCCAAUGCAUCUUCGUAUUAAUCAUUUUCCAAGUAAUCAUGCUAGGCGAUGGUUUGGUUGGACGAUUAACAGGAUCCGCGUCGAAUGAUCGAAGAAAAUCCAGUUUAGAUGGUAAUAUGAAGAAAAGAAGAGUAACACCAGCGGCUGCCGUUGAAUCUUUAACGUGUCUAUAAAGAACUAGAUUGUUCGCACAUAUGUCGUUGAAAUACAUUUUUAUAGUAAAAUACUAUUAUGUAGCAGAAGGCUAUAAGAAUGAUGAAA